rnacentral:rRNA from 1 species
CACGGGGGGAGCAAGCGUUGUUCGGAAUCACUGGGCGUAAAGGGUGUCUAGGCGGUCAGGUAAGUGAGAUGUGAAAUGCCCCGGCUUACCCGGGGACCGGCAUCUCAUACUGUCUGGCUUGAGUAUGGGAGAGGAUGAGGGAAUUCCUGGUGUAGCGGUGAAAUGCGUAGAUAUCAGGAGGAACACCGGUGGCGAAGGCGGGUAGCUGGGCCGACACUGACGCUGAUGCGCGAAAGCCAGGGGAGCGAACGGG